ACUAUCUUUAAGGAAGAGGAGAGGACUGAUUCCGAAAAUCCGCUCUUUGCCUCCGUUGUGAUGAAUAGAGAGAGCGAAUUGAAGGUUUCACAGUUCUUCUUCUGAGGGUUACAGCAGUUCCUGCUCUACCAGUUUUACCACGAGAGGUUGCUUCUGAAAGAGAGGCUGAAUUGGGGGUAUUUUUCCUUGAGGGAGAGGGUUGGGACUUUGUGAUUUUUCUUCUUCUCGCUCCAACUCCCAAGAAGCUGAGGGGGGAUGCUACAAUAUUUCUUCUGCCCGGGGGUCUUCCUGGCUUUCGCUUGGUAGCUGCAGCUUGUGGAACAGGUGAGGGUAUCAUAGGUUCUUCCUCAUCCUCUAGAAUUGGACCAAGACGCAACAUUGCUGGCACUCGAGGUGAGGUAUGAGCUGGGCUCAAGUUAACAGUGAUGUAUUCACUCUCAGGUACCAUUGGUCUUUGAUUUUCCUUGAUCAUAUUUGCUGCAGUUUCCUCUACUUCUCCUGAUUCUUCAGCAUGUCUAAACCAUUCUUUUAUGGCUGCACUUUCGUUUGGAUCAGGGCAGUUUGUGUAACGAAACAUAGCUUCACGCACUUCUGAUAUGGCUUCAGUUAAAGCUUCAUUCGGUACUUCAAAAUUCGGAGGAUUCAGAGGGGGAAGUGAUGACUCUGUUCCUUCGAUAUGCAUUUGAUUCUCUUCUCUGUCAGUCCUGGGGUUUGGCGGUUUCUCAAUCCAGACUGAUCUAGAAGGUCCACUUUUAUGGGUGGAAGGGGAGUGAGAUCUGUUGGACCUGCUUGGAUCAGGUCUUCUAUAUUCCCUUUAAUGACCAGAGGUAGCUAAUUCUAGCACACGAGGGCUGUAGUAGUUUGACCGGUCACUGCAAGAGUAGGGGAGUACCGGUGGUUUACUCCGUCUGAUUGGUGAUCUCUUUCCAUGCUCAGCAGGGUGUGAGGGAUGUUGUCUAGCAUAUCUUCUUUCAUCAUCUCUUGUAUGGUGAUCAAAUUGGUACUCUCCUCUGGUUUGGGUUCUCUGGUUAGAGUGGGAAUUGUUGUGGGUUCGAGAGAUUGGUUGGUUUGACUUAUAUCUAUUCUCUUGAUGGGAGUGGGGCAAGCGCUCCGUCCUUUUCUCCAGCUCUGAUACAUAAGGGCCGUUGUCCACGGCGAGAGGACAGUCUUGGGCUUCAUGGUCGAGCAUACCACAAGAGGUGCAGUGUCUUUCAAGCUUUUCAUAGACAAGUGUGACCAUUGCUUCCUCCCCUGAGUCAAAAUCAAGAGUAGCCGUCUUGAUAAGGGGUUUAAGACCAUCAAUAAGUACUCUCAUACGAGUUUUAGUUGCAGUGAUUUCUACUGACUCUCUGAUACCAAUAUUGUCCGCUAGGUUAGGGACACAUCUGACCAGAGGUGGAGAGGUAUACCCUGGACUUGGAUCCAGAACGGUAUUAGGUUUGGGAAUGUGGGGGCGCUUGAAAGUUCCCAGCGUUGCAAUAUUAUCAUCCAACGGGCAAAGUGAUAGGGUCUAUUUUCUAGGACUUUCAGGAGGUCUCUUUCAGAAGCAAAUUGGAACUGGAAGCAACCUUAACCUAGUUCUGCGCCCACAGGAGUGACUUCGACUUUCCAGUGUUCCAUAAAGAAAGGUAUGAGAGACCACAACUUCUGGACCUUUGGGUUUGUGACUCUUCCUACCAGUGUGAGAGCGUGCUUCUUUAUGAGUUCAGAGUUAUCCACAGCCGGGAUUUUGAUUCUAGUGGCUCUUAGAGGUUUCGGGGGAGCAGCCAACCCUUUUCCUUUCUCAGUAUACGAGAGUCUUCUACUCAUGGUUCUUAGGUUAUGGUGAAGGAGGCUUGAGGCGUAGUGGUUUGACAGGGAGAAGGCUCAUUGGGUACAAUCUGGGGUUUGCGUUUUCUGGAGGCUAGCUUAAGGUGAGUAGUCAGUCUUCUACGAGGUGAGUGGACAAAGAAUCGAAGAGCUCUCGAAUUUGAGUAGCAGGGAGAUCUCCGAAGCACAGAGUAAACCUUUACAAGUUUUAGAUUCAAGAGAUAAGGUCCAGUAACCACUGGGUAAUAAGAGUUUGUAGAGGGCAGCUACGGUCUUCAGUUUUGGCUCCAAAUCAGAGCGGCUUCUUCAUGUAACUGGUGAUGCAUCCUCCUUGUAGCUUCAGCUUCCCGGUCCGGCGGUUUUGUGCGGCAACGGCGGUCCUUCUGACCCCGGUCGGGGGAAGAACCCAGUGGGUUUUGCUGCAAAGUAGGGUAUUAUCCAGCAGAUACUUCUUUAACAAGGAACAAUUUGAAAAAAGUUCGUCGAAAGCAGGUGUAGCAGGUCCCAAACAGGAAAAUAGUACCCCGGGUAAAGGAGGGUGGCCCCUCACUCAGAAAGUCAAAGACCUUUCUCGCUUACAGUGCCUGAGAGCGUUUUUUCCGCUUUUGAAUUUUUAAAAAUAUCUAUAUAAACUCACAUUUGUAUACUUGUUAUUUGGAAAACUCCAGAAUUUUAAUAUUAAAAAAUUGGUUAAGAACAACAAGCAUAUGCUAAAACUGCACCACUGUCUCCUUAAAACCCGUAUUUACACCAGCAAUUUUCCUCUCUACACCUUUCAAUCUCGACGAUAUCUCUGCAGUUUUCUCUCACAAACACGACAGUGACGAUGAAGCUUCUACCGCCUUCAUUGAUUCCUUACCAUCAUGAUUCUAUAAAAUGGAGUUUUGUAAGCACUAUUUUUUGUUGUUGCAGUGAUAUGUAGUGACUGAAUCAACUGCAGUUGAAACACGUUACAUCAUGUUCUUAAAUAUAUGAUUGAUUCUUUAUAUAAUUCAUAUGGUUAAUCAAUUCCAUUUUUAAGGGUCGAUGGCGAGUGGACUAAAUGAUAAAAAUAUAUGCUUCAUCCCGAAGAUAACUAAGCCGACCAGAUGUCUCAGUUCUGCCCAUUAGCUUGUGUAAUGUUAGCUACAAUUUAUUCUCUAAGGUCUUAUGCCAGAGAUUAAAGAAAGUUAUACUAGACAUAAUUUCAGAAAUUCAGUAUGCCUUUUGUUUUGGAAGACAGAUUUCAGACAAUAUUAUGAUUGCCAAGGAAAUGUUUCAUGCUCUGAGAACUAAACUAAGUGGACGCAAUAAAAUGAUGGCCAUUAAGACAAAUAUAAGUAAAGCGUAUGAUAGGAUGGAGUGGUCGUCCAUCGAAGUAAUUAUGCGGAAGAUGGGAUUUUUGGAAACUUGGAUUGACUGGAUAAUGCGUUGUAUCACUUCGGUUAAGUACAAGGUGCUUAUGAAUGGUCAAACAAGGGGAAAUAUUGUUCCAGAGAGAGGUCUACAUCAAGGAGAUCCUUUGUCUCCUUUCAUUUUUAUCCUAUGCACAGAAGCACUCGUUAGCCUUCUUAAUCAUGCAGAGAACCAAUGGAAAAUAACGGGGAUGCGUGUUACACACGCAUGUCCAUCGGUAUCCCACCUUCUCUUUGCUGAUGAUAGCCUUUGCUGAUGAUAGCCUUUUCUUCUGUAAGGCGGAUCCCCAUGAAUGUGAAGAAGUGAUGAAAGGAGUCAGGAAAUAUGGACAAGCAUCAUGCCAAUGUAUCAACUUUGAGAAAUCCUCUCUACUCUUUGGUAAGAGGAUCAGCGCAAAUGUUAGACAGCAGAUUAAAAAAUACACUUGGAAUCCAGAACAAAGGAGGAAUGAGGACAUACUUAGGAAUUCCAGAAGAUAUUAGCGGAUCCAAAUGCAAACUCCUUGCAUUUUGCAUUUCUCAAGGAAAAAUUAAUGAAUAGAGUGAGUGGAUGGACAUGCAUAUGGCUUUCAAAAGGAGGAAAAGUAGUUUUGAUUAAAUCUAUCUUGCUAAUUCUUCCGACAUAUGUUAUGUCUGUCUUCUUUCUCCCGCUGGAGAUAUUUUAAAAUCCCGCAAGUGCCAUUACACAAUUCUGGUGGAGCUCAAUCCACCAAAGAGAGGAAUUCACUGGGCAAAAUGGGAAAAGCUCUGUUUACCAAGAGAGGAGGGCGGGAUUGGUUUCCGUAUGAUCCAUGAGUUCAACCUGGAUUUACUAGCAAAACAACUAUGUAGACUAGUUCAAUACCCUGAUUCGUUAGUGGCUCGAGUAUUGAGGGGAAGAUACUACAGAAUGAGUUCGCCUUUACGAACAAUCUCUGUAAGCAGCACAUCCUAUAUGUGCACCAGUAUUUCAGUGGCACGAAAACUGCUGCUAUUGGGGAUCAGACAGAAGAUACACUCUGGAUAUGAGGUUAAGGUGUGAGAGGACCCAUGGAUCCCUACUACACCAGCUAGGCCGGCUCGUCCUUCUGUCCAUGUAUUACACCCAAACAUGAGAGUUAGUGACAUUAAUCGAGAAUCAAAGGAAUUGGAUGUUUGACUACUGGAGGAUUAUGUUGCACCUGCUGAUAUACCUCUCAUAUGGAGUUUGGCCAUAAGCUCAACUUAUCGCCAUGAUACAUUCUGCUAGAACUAGACUAGUAAUGCCCAGUACACGAUUAAAUCUGGAUACUGGGUAGCUCGGAACUUAUUGAGGACCGAGGAAGAGGUAUUGGAGCCUAGUAUAACCAAGCUCCAAGCCUUUGCUUGGAAACUAAAAGCACCUCAGAAGAUUUGUCAUCUUAUGUGGCAACUGAUAUCAUGACAUUUGGCUGUAACGAGAAACCUGAACCGCCGUAAUAUGAAAUGCGAUAAUUACUGCCCAAGAUGUGGAGAACCAGAAGAAACUGUUACUCAUACCAUAUUUGAAUGCCCUCCAGCUCUGCAAGUAUGGUCUCUAUCAGCAACACCAUCUAGCCUCAACAUUUUCUCGUUACCAAGUAUUUAUGCCAAUAUGGAUUACCUCUUAUGGACAAAGAAUAGCAUUGUUGAACCUGAACUGGACAUGGAUCCUUAUCCUGGAUAAUCUGGUAUAUAUGGAAAGCUCAUAAUGAUAAACUCUUUAGGGGGAUUGACAUGGAUCCUUUGGAGCUAGUUCGAUAUGUAGAAAGUGAAUGCCAAGCCUGGCUUAAUGCAAUUGAGAUGGUCAUUCCCAUUCCAAAAGAGCAUAUUAGCGAGGAACUCCAGGUCAUAAGCCUGGAUAAUAUUUGUAUGGUGGAUGGUUCAUGGACUUCCACAGCACAGUUCAGUGGUUGUGGUUGGGUUUGGAAGGAUAGUGUUGGAAAGAUUCAGCUCAUGGGAACGCGAAACUUAAGGAGGCGAGAGUCUGCUUUACAUUCAGAAGUAGAAGCAUUGCAAAGAGCAAUGAAGAGCAUGAUACCAACAUUUGUCAUGUCAGCACUUUGGGACAGACUGCAAGGAUCUGAUCUCCAUGAUAAAGGAGCCUCAAGCUUGGCCAAAUUUUGCAAUAGAAUUGGAGGCUAUAAAUACACUGCAUAUAUGUUUUCCAGACUUCGAGAUAUCUCAUAUUCCAAGGGAACAUAAUGAAAUUUCAGAUUCUUUAGUAAAGAUUGUGAGAUCUUUUCAUAGAGAGCUUUGUUACAUUAGUUGUUCUAUUCCGGUCUGGUUAUCCAAACGAACUCAAGUUUGACUAAUAGAAUAGCCGUUCGUAGUGAAAAAAAAAAUACUCUAAAACUUAAACAGAAAUCCCACCCAAAUCUCUUUUUUUUCUUUUUCUAAAUCCCAACCAUACAAUUUUUUUCUUUUUCUAGAUCCCAACCAUGCAAAUUAGAUUUAGUCCAAAUCUCUUUGAAUUCCAUUUUUCCUCAAAUCCAUGCAAUCCUUUAGAAUCCAAAUCCUUUAAAAUUCACAGUUCAGUACACCCCAAUAAUGUUUUAUUUUUCUUAAUACAAGGUGAUUUUAAGAAAUUCAUCAUAAAACGAUAACUUUAAAAAUAUAGCUUUAAGCAAUAAUUUUAUUAAAUUUAAACACCACUUGUCAUGAUCUCCGUAUUUGUAGGAACGAGAAAUCAAUUUUCCAACCAUUGACUUUGCAAUAAUAUAUCAAUAGCGUAUUGGCGUGUAUAAUUUAAAUCCCCUAUAUAUUAUUCGAGUAUCUUUUAAAAAAUGGUAACAUUAAUUUUGUAUUGAUUACGAAAUGAUAUUUGUUUAUGUGUCAUUUUCAUAUCUAUACUAUUAAAACAGAAGAACAUUUUUUUGAGGUGCCCUUCUGUUUUGAAUAUAUUUACAGAUCUCUGCCACUAGAUUAUUUAAAUCUAUGCUUUUAAUUAAAUAUUUAGAAUCUUUUUCUUUUUAGUUUAAUUAAUUGGGAAAUUGCAGUAGAUAACUAUGAAAACUUAUUUAAUUAGGUAUAUAACAAUGACACUGUUUCUUUUUUCAAAAUACCCAUUAUAUCCAUAUUUCUUUGUCUGUCAACAUGUAGUUUAGUAACCGGAAGACCUGCAUCUUGACAAAUAUAUUUUUAUUUUUAAUAAUAUUAACAGAAAUUAAAAGAAAAAAACAAAAACAAAAUCUUUCCAACGCUUUAUUCGUUAUUCUCUCUCUCUUUCUAUCUCUCACUGAUUUGAUCUUCUUCUUAUUUUCAGUUAAAAUUUUAAUUAAUCAUAUCAUUUCGUUCCAGGUUUCUUUGACUUUGAUAAUGAAAAGAACACAAAACUGAUCCCCAAAUCCCCAGAAAAUUUCUGACUAACAAAAUUGAUAAACUAUUCAACAAAUCCUUUCUUCUUCUCUGCUUCUUCUUCACCACAACGUCCUUCAUCCACCGAGUCACCACCAGCCAACUCUCCCGAAUUCGAGCCCAACUCAUUGAGUCGACUCGGUACGAGCGAGUUUACUCAAAAGGAUGAUUUUUCUGACCGCUUCCUCCGGUUUUUCCAGGGCCGGCCCCGAGAUUUCGGGGGCCUUAGGCGAUAUUCGUAAAGAUUUCAUUGAAAAAAAAAAUUAAAAAAAAUUUGGGGACCUUUUUAAAAAAUUUGGGGGCCUAUAUUUACGUAGUUUUUUUCAAAAAAUUUGGGGGUCCUAGGCGAAUUUCAUCCGGCUUUGCUCAGGACCGGCCCUGGUUCUUUCUUCCUCUUUUUCAUCUCCAAGCUGUCUUCGAAGGCGCCAAUGAUCUCGUGAAGGAGUUUGCUAAUCCUACCAAACCCAGUAACUCGUGUAGCAUCUGAAGCAAUCACAGAGAUGGAGAGGAGAGUGAUGAUAAUCUUCUUUGGGUUUUUCUUUCUUAAAGCGAGAUAUACGAUUUGGGUCACGGGUACGGGAGAUAAGAACAAGUGAAUAUUGGCACAACAAGACAACAACAUUGCUUUAACUUUCUCCUAAGACAAGGAUUGCUUAUUGGACAAGACCGUUGAUGACAGAGGCAAGGCCAUCGUACAUGUGUACACCCUUCUACUCAAUCCUUAAUUAUGGUUCACUAAAGUUAAUAAUUGCAAUAAGUAGUAAAGAACACUGUCUUUGUAUCGACUAGUUCUUCAUUAUGUAUCUAUUUGCUCAUGUCUUCUAUUGAAUGAAAUUGUGUUGAUUGGUUCCA